rnacentral:rRNA from 1 species
GACGAACGCUGGCGGCGUGCUUAACACAUGCAAGUCGAACGGAAAGGCCCUGCUUUUGUGGGGUGCUCGAGUGGCGAACGGGUGAGUAACACGUGAGUAACCUGCCCUUGACUUUGGGAUAACUUCAGGAAACUGGGGCUAAUACCGGAUAGGAGCUCCUGCUGCAUGGUGGGGGUUGGAAAGUUUCGGCGGUUGGGGAUGGACUCGCGGCUUAUCAGCUUGUUGGUGGGGUAGUGGCUUACCAAGGCUUUGACGGGUAGCCGGCCUGAGAGGGUGACCGGCCACAUGGGGACUGAGAUACGGCCCAGACUCCUACGGGAGGCAGCAGUGGGGAAUAUUGCGCAAUGGGCGGAAGCCUGAUGCAACAACGCCGCGUGCGGGAUGACGGCCUUCGGGUUGUAAACCGCUUUCGCCGGUGACGAAGCGUGAGUGACGGUAAUGGGUAAAGAAGCACCGGCUAACUACGUG